GUCCACGGCCAUACCAUCCUGAACACAUCUGGUCUCGUCUGACCUCGGAAACUAAGCAGGGUCGGGCCUUAUUAGUAUUUGGAUGGGAGACAAAAGGAGGAACCCAGAGCA
rnacentral:rRNA from 1 species